AUUGAACGCUGGCGGCGUGCUUUACACAUGCAAGUCGAACGGUAACAGGUUAAGCUGACGAGUGGCGAACGGGUGAGUAAUGCAUCGGAACGUGCCCGAUCGUGGGGGAUAACGCAGCGAAAGCUGCGCUAAUACCGCAUACGAUCUGAGGAUGAAAGCGGGGGACCGUAAGGCCUCGCGCGAUCGGAGCGGCCGAUGGCAGGUUAGGUAGUUGGUGGGGUAAAGGCCCACCAAGCCGACGCUCUGUAGCUGGUCUGAGAGGACGACCAGCCACACUGGGACUGAGACACGGCCCAGACUCCUACGGGAGGCGGCAGUGGGGAAGUUUGGACAAUGGGCGCAAGCCUGAUCCAACCAUGCCGCGUGCGGGAAGAAGGCCUUCGGGUUGUAAACCGCUUUUGUCAGGGAAGAAACGCUCUGGGUUAAUACCCUGGGGUAAUGACGGUACCUGAAGAAUAAGCACCGGCUAACUACGUGCCAGCCGCCGCCGUAA
rnacentral:rRNA from 1 species